AAAGGCUCACCGAAAAUAGAGAUGGAUGAGCACACCUUCCUGGUGAACAGGGAGAGGGUUGUCGAUUACCUCAACUCUUUGGAUAAGGUAUUUGUGAAUGACCAAUUCCUCAACUGGGAUCCCGAGCAUCGAAUCAAAGUUCAAAUUGUCUCUGCAAGGGCCUAUCAUUCCCUGUUCAUGCACAACAUGUGCAUCCGUCCUACGCCUGAAGAACUGGAGGU